rnacentral:lncRNA from 1 species
UCUUUCAGAAACAGCAGUAUAGACCACCUCAGAGGAUUUCAAUGCUGCUAAUUUUGACCUCAGAAGAAAUCUGUAUGUUUUCAAAGCUUCAAGUGAUCCCUGAACACCAGAAUUUUAGUAUGCACGCAUGGAGAAAGCAUCAAAGAGAAGCUCUAGACCAUGCCGACUCAUUGAUGAAACUCCUCUGGGGAAGCUGGCUGGUGGAAAACCAAAAGGGAAAAGAAAACACCACCCGGUACUCCCGGUUGCACGAGUUUCCGCAAAGAAUCAUCAUGCAGACAGCCUCCCUCCAGAUUCCUGCCUCCAGCUCAUCCCUGAAGCAGCCUUUUCAAGCCUUUGCUGCAGCUCCUGAGCAUCCAUCUGCACCCUCUGCCUUUAUUAGCUUAUCCCUCCUUUCCAGCACGUGGAUUGUCAACAUCACUCUCCUGAUGAUCCUCCCACCCCACCCCCAUAGUGCUGCAGUGGGUGCUUCUUGAGGAAGAAACAGACAGUAUCUAUCUUGGCACCCAUAGCACCUAACACCUGUCCUUACCUAGAGCAGGUUUGGAGCUGGCUUGCACCACCAUUUUCCCUUCAGAUCUGAGAGACCGAGAGAUUUAUGCCCCUUCUGCUGGGAGUGCUGCCAUUGUCUUCCCUCUCCUGUCCCCCACUCCAGGCAUUGCCCUAGCUGAAGGGACCCACCCUGACACAGGUCACGGGAGCAGCCUACAUCCCAUGAUGUCACACAAUAGGAAGGCGCCACCUUCUCACCCCAAUUUGAGUCAACUGAGAAGGGCUGUCCCAGCUCCAGAGAUCCUCCCCUGGGGUCAGUUGAUGCCUUUGCUGAGACGGCACCAAACCCGGCUUCUCCCUCCGCCCUCCGGCCACCUGCCCUCCCUGGAGGUGUCGGGCUGAUCCCAUCCCUAGCAGGCAUCCUGCUGCCCGGGAACCCUGACAGGCAACAGUCAUUGACAACGACGAAUUUGUUGAAAGUGUUGACUGAAAACUUAAAAUUCAGAAAGAAAAACUUUUCUCAUAAAUAAAAUUAUUCAUUAUCACCUGGCUAAAAUAGCC